CGACUCCAACAUCCGCCUCUGGGUGGUCCUACCCAUCGUUAUCAUCACUUUCUUCGUAGGCAUGAUCCGCCACUACGUGUCCAUCCUGCUGCAGAGCGACAAGAAGCUCACCCAGGAACAAGUAUCUGACAGGUCAGCGCCCUCCCUUCUCCAGCCUACCUCACACCGCCGUGACCUGCCAUGAUUUUCUGCCCAUGGUUCACUAUUAGAGCAAUGGUUCUGAAUUAUAUCAGAUCCAAAGCUCUCUUUUGUAACCAUAAAAUGAAAUUCACAUUUAGUGUAGUCUGUUUACAAGAACCUUGCUCAUAAUUGCUGCAUCCCUUAAGUGAGGUAGUUGGAUUAUACCAGCUCUGACAUGGAGUGGCUCAGUCUCAUCAGGUCAUCAUUUGACUUGAGCAAAAUGCUGUACAUGCUGAACCGGCCUAAGUCCAAGAAAAAGGUGUGUUUUAGUUGUAAAACUUUUUUUUUCUUUUUUUUUUUUUAAGUGACAAGUCUUGCUGUGUCACCCAGGCUGG
rnacentral:lncRNA from 1 species